rnacentral:tRNA from 2 species
GAUGCAGUGGCUGAAUUGGUUAUGGCGCCGGAUUGCAAAUCCGGAGCAUGCGGGUUCGAGUCCCGUCUGCAUCU